CAUAGGUAUUUGAAGACGCAAAUUUACGUAGUUUAUAUCAUAGUUAGAUUUAGUGUGUUGAAUGAAUAAAAUGACAAAUCAACAACUUCAAAUGUUCUAAUAUGAAGUUACAUCAGCACAUAGCUGCUGAUUGUCACACCAGAUAUUCUCUGCACACUUUGAACAGCAUACUGGAUAUUCUGACUUGCCACAGCAGAAAAAGCACAGUUGUGUUAAUGAUGGCUGCAUCCCACUUAAUUUCUGAUGUUGUACUUGUUGGUUCGCUGUCAUGUGUUAGUGGGACACUUAGUGGAAAUGAGUCAUCAACAAUGAUUUUAGUUCUACCUCUGCUUUUCCUGCGGCAACAAGUGAAAAUGUCAAGUGUGGAAGAGCUCUAUUAUGGCAAAACACACAUUUGGACACAGACAUGAAAAUGGCUCCCAUCUCCCCACGUUUGUGUCUUUCUGUGGUCAUUGUAUCUUUUUUUUCCAACUAGAGAAAUUAUCAGUCAUGUCACAUAGAGGUUUGGGAACAGAGAAUGGAGGCAGAUCAGAUUCCAGAUGGAGGGUGAGUCCCACCACUUUGGCCCUGAGCUUGACUUGAGUUCAAAUUCUACUUUCUUCGCCCAGGAGCCUUGCCCUCGUGUUGCCCUUUGUGAUCUGGCAGGACACAGCAUGAAGGAGCAGAGCAUCUUUUUAUGCAAAGAGUGCAAAGGGGCAUCCCAUAAUGUCACAGUUCACCUGUCAUGAGGAGUGUGACCGUCUGAGGAAACAGCUGUUUAAUGAUGAUGUCAACAAGCUGAUCUCAGAGUGGAGGCUGAAUUAGUGAGGAUGACUCCUGCUCCUGUCAUCUCUAAGCUCCUCACACAUCUUUACCUGCACAUGAGGAAAAUCACUCCUGUAGAAUGCAGAUGUUCAGAGGGAGAUGAUGCCACAUCUGGUCCAGCUGAUGGAAGGUCUUGAAGUUCUCUGACUGGCCUGGACUGAAGAUGGUCGUCUCACUGGAUUUAAGGUUCAAAUGCCCAGUAACAAACUCCACCAAUGUGCCAACAGGGAAGCUUUAGGUUUAGUAAAUGUUGCUAUGAAGGUUUCACUGUUUUUCUUUGUGAAUGCAAUGUGCUCCAACUGAAACUUGAAUUAGAACUUAGAAGUAAAUCCUUCCAUCUGAAAGGAUUUAGUUGCAUUAAUAAUCUCAUAACAUUCUAAUUUUUAUUCCAGUCUUGGUUGGAAAUAGAAUCUCUGUAUUGAUUCAGGUAAAAACUGAACUUCACAGCAUGUUGGAGCAAAACAACCAGAUGAAAACUGUGAUGGUGUUGGAUUGUCAGACCGUAAUGUUGCAGCUCAAAGCAGCUUUUCUAGCUCAGUUCAUUCUGACAUUCAGCUAUGAAUCAACACAGCAGAUGGUGAUCCAUGCUGUGGAAGUCUCACAUCUCCUGAUUUAAUGGAGCUGCUUUGCACUUUUUACACUGUUUAUUCACCAACACUUUAUUUAAUCAAAGUCCCAUCUAGUUUUCAUGAGGAAUGUGAUGUUUUAAUUUCUCUGUGAAUAACUGCAGUCUAAUGCAACAGCUGGAGUUGUAACAUCUGUCCUGAUAUUGAUCAUGAAGUAUUGAUCAGAAUACUUAUGGUUAGCAGUCAUCCCUGAAGUUUUACAUUAAAAUCUUUACUUGUGUUGUGAACUUUGGUAAGAAGCAGAAACGUUAGCGUUGCCAUGGAUACACGAGUGUUAAAUUCUGUCCGUGUUUCCAUUUUGGGAAAUAUAGUCCAGUUCCAGAAUGUGGAGGAAUUUAGUCUCAAAAUCACAGACAACAAAUAUUAUCUGAAAGUUGGGUUAUUGUUGUUUAUCAGCACAAUACAAAAAGAUUAAUGUUAGAAAUAUUCCAGUUAAGACUCUAGAAUAUCAUGAUUUAUGUAAAUUUACCUCAAUAAUAUGAAUGUUCAGGUUAAGAUUGUACAGUGAUAUUUAUUAUGUAAGUUUAGCUGAUUAAAGUUUAUGACUGCACUAAAAUAUUAUUUAAAUUGACAUCAUUAUUAUAAUAUUUAGGGUCAGACCCUACAGUAUUGAGAUUAAGAAAUCAAAUAUUCUAUAAAAUGUAAAUACACUGAACUCAUUUGGAUAUAUUUAAAUGAGACUCUACAAUAUUAUUUGACACAAAUCUGUCUAAAUCAAAAUUUUAAUAAUUUUUUACAAACAUUUACUGGACUGAUUUAAAUAUGAAAAUCACUCCUUUCUAAUCCUCUGCUGUACGUUCAAACCUGAGGCCUUAAAUAGAAACACACAAGUAUCUGUUUGAAGGAACUUCUGCAGAGUCCUGGUUCCAGAACAUGAUGAUAGAAUUAUAGACAAACUUUAACAAAAGCUGCCUGAGAGUUUACAGGUUUUUAUGUUGGAUUUCUUCAGUAAUUUAAUGAGUUAUCAGCAAAAAUCAAGUGUUCAUUUGAUGAACUUCAUUUCCUAAAACAUCCAGAAUUGGAGCUCAUAUCUUUGGCAGCUGUAAAGUUUCUGCUCCUUCAAAGUUCACAACACAAUGAAUGAAUUCCUAAAACACUCUCAAUGCUGGAGAGCGUUUGUGAUGCUGAAGCAGUGACCAGUUUUUCUGUUUCUUCUCUGGAGAUGCACAAUGAGGGACGUCUGCAGAGACUGAGAAAGAGUCUCACCACAUCCUGACAUGAGGAAAAAGACUUUAUUGAAGACUACAAUGAGAAAAACUAUCAGACAGCAGACGGCUGCAUUCAAGGCUACAGGAGGAGCCCUACGAGGACGAGCCGGUCCACCUGAUGGUGGCCAGUCGCUGCGGUUCAAAGCCAACACCGACUACGUGGACUUCUACUGGACCACACGGAGGCCUUCAAACCGGACCAACAAGUUCAGCGACUCCCCGACUCGUGGGUCUGAGGACGCCGCCGAGCCUCGGUCCAGCCGGCCUCCUGUCUGUGGGUGUUUGAGUGCUGAGAGGUUUGUGGAUGCAUGUGAAUCUGU